rnacentral:rRNA from 1 species
UGGCAGCAGUGGGGAAUUUUGGACAAUGGGCGCAAGCCUGAUCCAGCCAUGCCGCGUGCGGGAAGAAGGCCUUCGGGUUGUAAACCGCUUUUGUCAGGGAAGAAACGCUCUGAGUUAAUACCUCGGGGUAAUGACGGUACCUGAAGAAUAAGCACCGGCUAACUACGUGCCAGCAGCCGCGGUAAUACGUAGGGUGCAAGCGUUAAUCGGAAUUACUGGGCGUAAAGCGUGCGCAGGCGGUUAUGCAAGACAGAUGUGAAAUCCCCGGGCUCAACCUGGGAACUGCAUUUGUGACUGCAUAGCUAGAGUACGGUAGAGGGGGAUGGAAUUCCGCGUGUAGCAGUGAAAUGCGUAGAUAUGCGGAGGAACACCGAUGGCGAAGGCAAUCCCCUGGACCUGUACUGACGCUCAUGCACGAAAGCGUGGGGAGCAAACAGGAUUAGAUACCCUGGUAGUCCACGCCCUAAACGAUGUCAACUGGUUGUUGGACGGCUUGCUGUUCAGUAACGAAGCUAACGCGUGAAGUUGACCGCCUGGGGAGUACGGCCGCAAGGUUGAAACUUAAAGGAAUUGACGG